rnacentral:rRNA from 1 species
AGAUUGAACGCUGGCGGCAUGCUUUACACAUGCAAGUCGAACGGUAACAGGCCGCAAGGUGCUGACGAGUGGCGAACGGGUGAGUAAUGUAUCGGAACGUGCCCAGUCGUGGGGGAUAACGCAGCGAAAGCUGCGCUAAUACCGCAUACGAUCUAUGGAUGAAAGCGGGGGACCGUAAGGCCUCGCGCGAUUGGAGCGGCCGAUAUCAGAUUAGGUAGGUUGGUGGGGUAAAGGCUCACCAAGCCAACGAUCUGUAGCUGGUCUGAGAGGACGACCAGCCAACACUGGGACUGAGACACGGCCAGACCUCCGUACGGGACGCAGCAGGUGGGUAAUUUUGGACAAGUGGGCGACAAGCCUGAUCCAGCAA